UAGUGCAGCAAUGUAUGGAAA
rnacentral:piRNA from 1 species